GUUCUAUUUACUUCGCCAGCACAUAUGUUAAAAUUGGAAUAGUACAGAUUAAUAUGGCCCUUAGGCAAAGAUGACACACAAAUUGUUGGAGGAUAUCCUCCUGUAU
ensembl:snRNA U6 U6 spliceosomal RNA